rnacentral:lncRNA from 1 species
UUAAAUGUUGUAAUCAUAAAGAGAAAGGUAUUUACCCUUCCACCUACUAUAAAUAAAGGCACAAUGGGGUGAAUCAAACACACCUCACAAUUAAAUCAAUCUCUUUUCUCUCUAAAGUGGCCGGCCUCUCUCUCUCUCUCUAAACCUUAGAUCGCUCAAUUAAAUAGGCCUACAACAUGUUAUCAGCACGCCCUUGCCAGAAGCUGAGGAAUUGAAGCAUCGUAGGAGGAGGCUAUCAUCCACCACAUUCAAAGGCUUAUUCGUUUUCUACUGCUCAGGUACGCUUAAAAUAAAGGAAGAUAUUUGAAACGACCCAUGAAGCAUGAAAAUAUUCCCCAUGAUGCAUGAACCCCCUAUGUUUAUAUUUUCCUUCCGAUAUAUAUAUAUAUAUUGUACAUGUUCAUAUACUUGUCACUAUAUAUAUUUGUUUCAUGCAUCGCACAAUUAAAUUGUUAUGUGGAAUUUGUGAGUCAAUGUAUAAAAUUAAAUUAGAAGCAUAUUAGGUUUUUCCUAAAACCUAAAGGGAAUUGGAAAAAAAAAGGGGGGGGAAUGGGAUUUGGUGCAUCGCACCAUCCCUAUGCCAAAAAGGAAAACAGGCUUCAGCCUGAUUUUGGUUUCUUUGCUGGGCCUGCAGCCCAUGGCCUCUCUCGGCCUGCAUCAAAAACCUGCCAACCCUCGGUUGGGUGCCUUAUGCACACAAGGCACACAAAGCCAGCCCUCGGGUUGGGCCUCUUGCGCCACAAAAUCAAGGCCCCAGCUUCGCUGGGCUCCCUGCGUAACCAACCUGCAAGCCUUGGGCUUGCCCCCGUGACCCCUUGGACCAAAACACCUAAACCAGCUACGGCUGGGGGUUUUGUCCCUCCUGUGACCUGCAGCCAUACCCUAGGCCCUGCCGUUUUUACUCAAGGCACCCCGUGCCUUCCCUUACCCACGGCACCCAUGCCCAAAUUAUUUUGGGGCAUUUUUCCACCCACAAGCUAUUAUUUUAGCAUUUUAAAUAAUUUAACCAGUAUGUUAAUAUUAUUUUCUUCUACAAUCGACCAUGUAUGGCCCGAUUUAUUGAAGUAAUUAAAAGUGACCUGGAGUCCACUAAUAUGAUAAUGAAUCCAAAAUUAUUGACCUGAAGAUCACUUUUGGACAUUAACGAUUCAAUAAUUUAUUUUUAUACUUUGAACCGUCAUAUACUUUCGUAGUACCGAAGCUCUCACACUUGAGUUCCCGAAGCCAACUCAAAUCCACUACACUUAGUUAGUAUCUUGCAUUCUGUGUUUCUUGCAGGAACCUCUCAUUAUGAACUAAUCGUUCAUAAAACUAAUUUGAACCUGUAGUUUCAAAAUUAGUGCCUUUGAAACCUGAAGUUUCCCGAAGCCAUCACACUUGAGUUCCCGAAGCCAACUCAAAUCCACUACACUUAGUUAGUAUCUUGCAUUCUGUGUUUCUUGCAGGAACCUCUCAUUAUGAACUAAUCGUUCAUAAAACUAAUUUGAACCUGUAGUUUCAAAAUUAGUGCCUUUGAAACCUGAAGUUUUCAUUCAAAACAUACCACAUGAAACCUGAAGUUUUCAUGCAUAAAUUAAACUAAUACAUGUCUAUAGAACUUGUAUGUUCUACGAUAUAUGUCUAUGGCUUACCAUAUGACUAAUCACUUUUUUCCCGUCGUGAGUCUAACUUUGCACAUGUGGAUCAUCUGGACGAUGCAACCAUAUCAAUUGAGAUAUCAGACUUCCAGGAGGCAUCAGCACCUAUGGAAGACUAAAUUAGACAUGUUUUAGGGCAUUAGCCCCUAGUGGCCAAACCCACUAGGAGUGGCCGGCCCCUACCCCCUAUUUUGCUAGGUUUAUGGUUUAAUUUUGAACAAUUUUUCUAUGUAUUUGGAAUCAUUUGUUUGGUUUUGGUUUGUUUUGAAUUAUGGAUAAUUGGAAUGGAUAUUAUUUUCUCGAAUUGCUUAAUUGAAUGAAUGGACUUAUAUUUAUGCAUGUGACCAAUUCAAUCAAUUUAUUUCUAGGUAUGUCUAGUGGGGAAGUUAGUUGUCUAGCAGAUAGUGCAACUACGCACACCAUUUUGCGUGAACGACACUAUUUUACUAACUUCAUACCCAAGAAAGCUCCUUUGACAACUCUCUCAGGCUCAUCCAACCUGAUUGAAGGAUACGAAAAGGCACGUAUCAUGUUGUCUAAUGGUACAAUCUUGACCAUUAAAGAGGCACUCUAUUCUCCACGUUCCGGAAGAACGUUGCUGAGUUUUAAAGAUAUUCGAGAUAAUAAAUAUCAUCUUGAAACCACUGAAGAUCAUGGUUCUGAAUUUCUUUGUAUCACUUCAUACGAAUAUGGCUAGAAGCAUAUUCACGAGAAGUUGGAACG